rnacentral:rRNA from 1 species
AGGGGUUUGGAUCCUGGGGCUCAGGAUGAACGCUAGCGGCAGGCCUAAUACAUGCAAGUCGAGGGGCAGCAGUACUUUUCGGAGUAGCUGGCGACCGGCGCACGGGUGCGUAACGCGUAUGCAAUCUACCCACAGCACAGGGAUAGCCCGUGGAAACAUGGAUUAAUACCUGAUAACACAUUGUUUUCAUCUGGGGACGAUGUUAAAGUUUUAACGGCAGUGGAUGAGCAUGCGUCCCAUUAGCUAGUUGGUGAGAUAACGGCUCACCAAGGCGAUGAUGGGUAGGGGUUCUGAGAGGAUGAUCCCCCACACUGGUACUGAGAUACGGACCAGACUCCUACGGGAGGCAGCUAGUAGGGAAUAUUGGUCAAUGGACGCAAGUCUGAACCAGCCAUGCCGCGUGCAGGAAGACGGCCUUCUGGGUUGUAAACUGCUUUUCUCAGGGAAGAAAAACGCUCUUGCGAGAGCACUUGCCGGUACCUGAGGAAUAAGCACCGGCUAACUCCGUGCCAGCAGCCGCGGGUAAUUACGGAGGGUGCAAGCGUUGUCCGGGAUUUUAUUGGGUUUAAAGGG